GGGCCUAUAGCUCAGUUGGUUAGAGCACCUGACUCAUAAUCAGGUGGUCCCAGGUUCAAAUCCUGGUGGGCCCA
rnacentral:tRNA from 1 species